rnacentral:rRNA from 1 species
GAAGAAGGCCUGAGGGUUGUAAAGCACUUUCAGUGGGGAGGAGUUUGAUAGGUUAAGAGCUAGAUUAAAGGACGUACCCACAGAAGAAGCACCGGCUAACUCCGUGCCAGCAGCGCGGUAAUACGGAGGGUGCAAGCGUUAAUCGGAAUUACUGGGCGUAAAGGGUGCGUAGGUGGUUUAAUAAGUUAUGUGUAAAAGCCCUGGGCUCAACCUGGGAAGGUCAGAUAAGACUGUUAGACUAGAGUAUAGGAGAGGGUAGUGGAAUUUCCGGUGUAGCGGUGAAAUGCGUAGAGAUCGGAAGGAACACCAGUGGCGAAGGCGGCUACCUGGCCGGAUACUGACACUGAAGCACGAAAGCGUGGGGAGCAAACAGGAUUAGAUACCCUGGUAGUCCACGCUGUAAACGAUGUCAACUAGCUGUUGUUCAUAUGAAUGUGAAUAGUGGCGCAGCAAACGCGAUAAGUUGACCGCCUGGGGAGUACGGUCGCAAGAUUA